UGUGGAAGCUAGGGGUGCUUAUCUUGAAUAAGCUGAGAAAAAGGUGUGUUCCUUUUACCCUUGAACCUGAUCUGGUUGAUACCAGCGUAGGAAAGUGACUGCUACUUAAA
rnacentral:ncRNA from 2 species